UACAAAAAGUAUUUAGAGUCAUUAUCAUCGAAUUGUAAAACGUUAUAAAAUACAGGAUGUACAGUUUCUAUUUGAGGUACCCUGUAUAGAACAUUUUUAUUGCAAAAAACGCGCAAGUGACAACAAUAAUCAGUGUGUCCAAAAAAUAAAAUAGCACAUUACAGUUCUUAUAACAAAAUGGACACUGAUAAUCAAGUUGAGUCUGAUGAUUCGAAAAAUGAAGCACUUGCAGAUUUAAAAAGAAAACUUUUGAACAGUAACAGGAGGCAUAAACAGGACAAUUAUGGUUUUUCAAACAAGAUGAUUGCAGGAAAUGCACUUCCAGAGAUUUUGGACUAUGACUCUGACAAAGAUGGGCCUUACAUACCAUCAAAUUCCAGCAGUGAAGAGUCCAGUGAUUAUGAAUUAUUUGAAGGCGUUGAACACAUUUCAGCUGAGACUGUG